GUGCUUGCUCCAACAGCACAUAGACUAAAUUUGGAAUGAUACAGAGAAGAUUAGCAUGGCCCCUAUACAAGGAUGACAUGCAAAUUCAUGAAGCCUUCAGUAUUUUU
rnacentral:snRNA from 1 species